rnacentral:rRNA from 1 species
CCGGCGCACGGGUGAGUAACACGUAUCCAACCUGCCGUCUACUCUUGGACAGCCUUCUGAAAGGAAGAUUAAUACAAGAUGGCAUCAUGAGUCCGCAUGUUCACAUGAUUAAAGGUAUUCCGGUAGACGAUGGGAUGCGUUCCAUUAGAUAGUAGGCGGGGUAACGGCCCACCUAGUCUUCGAUGGAUAGGGGUUCUGAGAGGAAGGUCCCCCACAUUGGAACUGAGACACGGUCCAAACUCCUACGGGAGGCAGCAUG